rnacentral:piRNA from 1 species
CAAAAUCAUACUGGAGAGAAUCCCU